UGGGCGCAGCCUGAUGCAGCCAUGCCGCGUGUGUGAAGAAGGCCUUCGGGUUGUAAAGCACUUUCAGUCAGGAGGAAAGGUUAGUAGUUAAUACCUGCUAGCUGUGACGUUACUGACAGAAGAAGCACCGGCUAACUCCGUGCCAGCAGCCGCGGUAAUACGGAGGGUGCGAGCGUUAAUCGGAAUUACUGGGCGUAAAGCGUACGCAGGCGGUUUGUUAAGCGAGAUGUGAAAGCCCCGGGCUCAACCUGGGAACUGCAUUUCGAACUGGCAAACUAGAGUGUGAUAGAGGGUGGUAGAAUUUCAGGUGUAGCGGUGAAAUGCGUAGAGAUCUGAAGGAAUACCGAUGGCGAAGGCAGCCACCUGGGUCAACACUGACGCUCAUGUACGAAAGCGUGGGGAGCAAACAGGAUUAGAUACCCUGGUAGUCCACGCCGUAAACGAUGUCUACUAGAAGCUCGGAUCUUCGGUUUUGUUUUUCAAAGCUAACGCAUUAAGUAGACCGCCUGGGGAGUACGGCCGCAAGGUUAAAACUCAAAUGAAUUGACGGGGGCCCGCACAAGCGGUGGAGCAUGUGGUUUAAUUCGAUGCAACGCGAAGAACCUUACCUACACUUGACAUACAGAGAACUUACCAGAGAUGGUUUGGUGCCUUCGGGAACUCUGAUACAGGUGCUGCAUGGCUGUCGUCAGCUCGUGUUGUGAAAUGUUGGGGUUAAGUCCCGCAACGAGCGCAACCCCUAUCCUUAGUUGCUAGCAGGUAAUGCUGAGAACUCUAAGGAGACUGCCGGUGAUAAACCGGAGAAGUGGGACGACGUCAGUCAUCAUGGCCCUUA
rnacentral:rRNA from 1 species